rnacentral:lncRNA from 1 species
UAUGUCUAUAGUUUAUUUCUCCUCUAACCUUUUUUUUUUUUAACUUUUGUUUGCUUUAGAUUUAGUUUGCUCUUUUUCUAGGUUUUUUAAGAUAGAAUCUUAGGUUAAUGACAAGAGAACUUUCUUCUCUUUUAAUAUACACAUUUACAUUUAAUACACCUCUCUCUAAACACCACUUUUUCUGUAUUCCAUAAAUUUGGGGAUAUGUUUUCAUCCUUCGUGAAUGAAGUCAUCCUAAAGUACUUUCUAAUUCUCUUUAUCAUUUCUUCUUUGACAUAUUGGUUAUUAUUUAGGAGAGUAUUAAUAGCUGCAUAUUUGUGAAUGUCUCAAAUUUAUAAAUGAUUCCUAAUUAAUUUCAGUGCACUCAGAGAACAUACUUUGUUUGAAAUCAGUCCUUUUACAUUGAUUGAGUCUUACUUAAUGGUCUAACAUAUGGUCUUUUCUGAAGAAUAUUCCUUGUAUACUUGAGAAGAAUGUGUGUUUUGAUGGAAUGUAAUAUUCUUUGGAUGUUUGUUCUAGUUGGUUCACAGUGUUGUUCAGUCUGCUGUUUCCAUGUUAAUCUUAUGCCUAGUUGUUUUUCCAUUAUCAAAGGUGGAGCAUUAAGCUCUCCAACUAUUGUUAUUGAAUAGUCUCUUUCUCCCUUCAAACCUGUCAGUUUUUGCUUCAUGUAUUUUGGGGCUUUGUUGUUAGGUACAUGUACAAUUUAUAAUUGUUAUAUCUUCCUGAUGGACUGAACUUUUAUUGUUAUAGUGUCUUUUUUCUUUUAACAGUUUUGGUCUUAAAGUCAGUUUAGUCUGAUAUCAAGAUAGCCAUUCCAGUUCUUGGUUACUGUUUGCAUGGCAUAGCUUAUUCCAUCUUUUACUUUUUACUUUUUCUGUAGUCUGCCUCGUGUGAACACCUAUAGUAGGACUAGAUAGAUAGAUAGACAGAUUGAUUGAUUGAUUUUGUUUUUACGGCCACACUCACAGUGUAUGAAAGUUCCCAGGCUAGGGGUUGAAUUGGAGCUGUAGCUGCUGGCCAACACCCCAGCAAUAGCAAAGCCAAAUCUGCCAAAUUUGAGCCAUGUCUGUGACAUACACUGCCGCUCAUGGCAACACUGGAUUCUUAACCCACUGAGUGAGGUCAGGGAUCAAACUUGCAUCCCCAUGGGUACUGGUUGGGUUCAUUACCACUGAGCCACAGUGGGAACUCCCAGAUCAUAUGUUUUUAAUCCAUCUUGCCAAUUUCUGCCUCUUGAUUGGAUUGUUUAACUUAUUUCUAUUUAAUAUAGUUACUGACUAGGAGGACCUAUCUCUUUUAUUUUACUUUUGAUUUUCUGUAUGUCAUCAUUUUUGCCCCCUUCUAAUCUAUUACUGCCUUCUUUUUGUUAAAUAGGUAUUUUCCAGUGUAACAUUUUAAUUCCCUUGUAUUUUUCUUCUCUAGAUUUUUUUGAGUUAUUUUCUUAGUGGUUGCCCUGAGGAAGGUUACAAUUAAUUUUUACAUUAAAAAAUUGUAGUUUCCAUUAAUACACACUUAAUUUGCAAAGCACACAAAGACUUUUCACCAGUAUAGAUUCCUUUACCUCUCCUUGUGCUAUUAUUGUUGUAUAUAGUACAUCUUUACACAUUUGUAUACAAGUCUAUCAACAUAAUUUUGAUUGCUUUAGAUGGUUGUAAUUUAAGUCAGAUAAGAAAAGAGUCACAAAAAUAUAUAUAUUUAUGUUGUUUUUUAUACUUACCUGUGUAUAUAUUUUUGCCUUUUCCUGGCUUUAGUUGGAAUGCUCAAAUGUUUUGUCAUGAUAUGGCUGUUUGGUGCAUACUUCAGAUAGAUGCUCACAGGUAAAGGAAAUUCCUUUGUAGUUUUAGUUGGUAAGAAUAUUUAGGAUUAACUGGGUGUUAAAUCUAUAUCUAAUGUUUCACGUUUUUCAUCUUUUGAGAUAAUCAUAUAAAUUUUAUCCUUUAACUUGUUAAUAUAGUAAAUUGUUCUGAUAGAUUUUGUAUAUAUUAAAUCAUUCUAGCAACCCUAGUCUAAAUACAACUUGGAAAUGCUGGAUUCUUUUAAACUAUGAAUUCCUUUUUUAAAUCUUUUAUCUAGAAUAUUUGCUUUUCUCUGUAGGUGACAUUGGUGUUUAAUUUUGAAUUUUAAACUGCUUAUUUCUAGUUUGAUAUAAAGUUUUUGAGGCUAGUGGUUUCAUGAUUUGGGUUGGGGAGAUUCUCUUUUUAUAAGACUGAACAAUUGGGCAUACUUUCUCUUAAAUGUCUGGUCUCAUGUCUUUCUCUUGAAAUAUAUUUUGACUAAAUUUUUAUUUUCUUGAUUAUCAUUCUGUUCAUUUUUCUAAUUAUUCUCAGGUCAAUUUUAAUUUAUAUGUUAUUAAAAUUGUGCAUUUAAGCUAUGUUUUAGCUAUGUUUUAAAUCUAUUGAUUUAAUGUUUUUUUCCUGCUAUCAUCUUAUAGUUUCAACAAUUUUAUUUGUAUCCCGAGUUAUGUGUUUAUUUCAUUUGUAGUUUUAUUUAGGUAGUCCUUUUCUCAUUUGCCCGCCCCUGCUUUAUUUUUCUUUUAUACAGCCACACCUGUGGCAUAUGGAGGUUCCUGGGAUGGGGUGGAAUUGAAGCCACAGCUGAGGCCUACAUUGGAUGCGAGCUGCAUCUGUGACCUACGCCACAGCUUGCAGCAACAUAGGCCAGGGCAGGGCCUAGCCUGCAUCCUCACAGAGACAAUGUCAGGUCCUUAACCCACUGAGCCAUGAUAGGAACUCCUCUCAUCUGCUCUUGAUUGUAUGUACCAAAAUUUUAUAUUUUAAUAUUUUCAAGACCUUCUUUUUUUUAUUAUUUGUUAUUGAAGUAUGGUUGAUUUACAAUAUUAUAUUGGUAUCAGGUACACAACAUGAUAUAUGAAUCACUGAAUUGAUUUAUCUUCAGUGUUCAUAUAUUGUCCCCUUAUUUCACUCCUAUUUGUCUUUUUGUUCUGCUAAGACAUUUCAUCAAAUUUCUCUUGCCACUCUCAUUUAAUUAUUCAUUCCAGCUAAUGUAUUUUUUGGCCAUGCCUACAGCAUGCAGAAGUUUCCAGGCCAGGGAUCAAACCCAAGCCACAGCAGUGACAAUGCUCAAUCCUUAACCACUAGGCCACAGCAGGAACUCCACAGCUAAUGUAUUUUUAGUUUGUAAAAACUCUGCUUCUUAGAGCAUGUAUUUUAUCGAAUGCAGCUUUUAUUUCUCUGAUAAACUAUUUUGUUUCCUUCUGAAAUGUUAGUCUCUUUUGAAAGAUUUUAAUCUACUCCCCGCACUGUAUCUCAUUCUUCCACAGUCUUUUGUUAUCUGUUUAUUAGCUGAUGUCUUUUUUCUUGUGAUAGUGGUUUUCUACAAACUCUUGGUGAUCUUUGUCAGUCCAUUAUAACUGUGAUUGACACAUUAACAAGCUGUUUAGAAACUCUGUGCACAUGUAUGUAGUGGGGUAGGGUGAGAUAGGUUGAAGGGUGGGCUUUAUUUCCUAGGGUGAUAAAGCUGGGUAAUGUAAGAAAGUGGGCUUUAUUAGUAUAAGCUUACUUUUUCAACAUAUCUCACUGAACAGUCCAUAUCUAAGUCUUUUUUCUUGACUUCUUCAAUUCCCCAGGGGACCAUCCUUCUGUUUCCUGAUGGGGCACUGUAAGCCUUGUUGUCAGGAGCCUACGAGGUUUGCUGAUGUUCUUUUACCUCUUCCUCACCAUUAAAAAAAUUAUUACAGGAGUUCCCGUCGUGGCGCAGUGGUUAACGAAUCCGACUAGGAACCAUGAGGUUGCGGGUUCGGUCCCUGCCCUUGCUCAGUGGGUUAACGAUCCGGCGUUGCCGUGAGCUGUGGUGUAGGUUGCAGACGCGGCUCGGAUCCCGCGUUGCUGUGGCUCUGGUGUAGGCCGGUGGCUACAGCUCCGAUUCAACCCCUAGCCUGGGAACCUCCAUAUGCCGCAGGAGCGGCCCAAGAAAUAGCAACAAUAACAACAACAACAACCAAAAAGACAAAAGACAAAAAA